rnacentral:rRNA from 1 species
UGGGGAAUAUUGGACAAUGGGCGCAAGCCUGAUCCAGCCAUGCCGCGUGAGUGAUGAAGGCCCUAGGGUUGUAAAGCUCUUUCAGCGAGGAGGAUAAUGACGUUACUCGCAGAAGAAGCCCCGGCUAACUUCGUGCCAGCAGCCGCGGUAAUACGAAGGGGGCUAGCGUUGUUCGGAAUCACUGGGCGUAAAGCGCACGUAGGCGGACUUUUAAGUCAGGGGUGAAAUCCCGGGGCUCAACCUCGGAACUGCCUUUGAUACUGGAAGUCUGGAGUCCGAGAGAGGUGAGUGGAACUCCGAGUGUAGAGGUGAAAUCCGUAGAUAUUCGGAAGAACACCAGUGGCGAAGGCGGCUCACUGGCUCGGUACUGACGCUGAGGUGCGAAAAGCGUGGGGAGCAAACAGGAUUAGAUACCCUGGUAGUCCACGCCGUAAACGAUGGAAGCUAGCCGUCAGGGUGCAUGCACCUUGGUGGCGCAGUUAACGCAUUAAGCUUCCCGCCUGGGGAGUACGGUCGCAAGAUUAAAACUUAAAUGAAUUGACGGGGUCAUAGCUGUUUCCU